rnacentral:rRNA from 1 species
ACGGAAGGCAGCAGUGAGGAAUAUUGGUCAAUGGGCGGAAGCCUGAACCAGCCAUCUCGCGUGCAGGACUACGGCCCUACGGGUCUUAAACUGCUUUUAUGGGGGGAUAAAGUCGGGCAUUCGUGUCCGUUUGCAGGUACCCCAUGAAUAAGGAUCGGCUAACUCCGUGCCAGCAGCCGCGGUAAUACGGAGGAUCCGAGCGUUAUCCGGAUUUAUUGGGUUUAAAGGGUGCGCAGGCGGCCCGUUAAGUCAGCGGUGAAAUGUCGGGGCUCAACCCGGGCACUGCCGUUGAAACUGGGGGGCUUGAGUACGGAUGAGGUCGGCGGAAUGUGACGUGUAGCGGUGAAAUGCUUAGAUAUGUCACAGAACCCCGAUUGCGAAGGCAGCUUACCAGCAUACAACUGACGCUGAGGCACGAAAGCGUGGGUAUCAAACAGGAUUAGAUACCCUGGUA